GUUUUGAAUUUAUUAUUACAUAUUAUUUUAUGAUUUAAUUCGUCUAAUGAGCACUUAAAUUAUUGUUUUGAGCAAAACUCCACAGUUGAAUGUGUUGGUGCCAUUUAAAAUGCACGGCAAAACUACCACAUAUAAGCACUGGAGUUUUUUCUCUCAUUGCAUCUUGUAGGGUGGAAGAGAAAAACCAACCGAAGUCGCGUCUCUAGGUAUUCCUUUCUCUAUGCUCAAAAGCAAGAACACAAAAUCCUGUUCUAGAUUUGUCAAUGAACAGCAAACUAGAACACAUAGAGGAAGGAAUACCUAGAGAGCCGACUCGUACCCCCCUUGCCUAAAACACCCGCAAAUUUAAUUUCAGAUAAUUGGUAUGCAUCUCUCUUAUUUUUCUCUUGUUUUCCUAUCUGUGAAUACGUGUGAAAGGUAUAAUGCGUUUAAUACCUUCCUUUCGACAGUAGGUGCCCUCACAAACGGGUGUGUGUUUUGAAUUUAAUGAUGAUUUUGGUUUGUGUAUGAACUUGAUUGAGCUAUCUGAGCUUUAAUAGCUCAUUAUAAACACCCACCUUUCAAUAAAUAUGUACAGAAUUAAAAAUGAAGAUUCGUGUUUUGAAUUUAUUAUUAUUAGUACCUGGGUGACCGAGCUUUGCUCGGUAUCCUUAAAUGUUAUAACUUUGAGUGAAAAAAAAAAUCAAAUGUAUACAGCAAUUUUUUGGAGUGGGUUUGAGUUUGCAAUGACCAGUUUUUUCGCGGGUUACAAAACACCACAUUCCCACUUUAUAAUCCAGUUUAUUUAAGUUUGAAUAUACGAUCAGCAAUGAAUAGAAGGGUUACAGGAAUCUGCAUUAUCGAAAAUGCUUACAGCAAUGAGAUCCCUUUUUGUUCAAAUUUUAAUUUACGGGUCAGAAAGUUUUGGAUGGUGAAUAUAAAGUUUUUUUUUUUUUUGUAUAGCCUUGUCGGCAAAGCUUAGUAUCAAGAAAUACUAUUUUUAUCCCUGUCUCUGUUCUAUUCUGUAUCAGUGGAUUAAGAUUAAGAUUAAGAUUAGGGUGAGAGGUGGGAAUAAUUCGCCUUAUCACUGCGGCCUCUGAUGGGCCUAUUGUGAUGUCCUCUUUUUAGAGUUCACGUAGAAAUCCUGAGUUUAGAAAACUUAGUAUGUUUUUGGGUGAACUAGCUAGUAUGAACUAGUAUCAGUGGAUGCUUUACUCCUUUCUUUUUUUUUACUUAUAUAGGGUGUCCCAAAAGUAAUGCAUCAAACGAAAUAUGCUGAUUGGGGAACUAAAGGGCUCUCAGAAUUUGGAACCUUGUUCCUCCCAAAUCCUUACGGGUUUCAAUUUAAUGCAAUUCUUGUGAAAUUUCGAAAAAUCCCUACUUGACAACAGUAUUUUGCUUCCUGCGCCCAUUAUUGAUAUUUGUUUUUUUUUUUUAAUUCUUUUACGAAAACAUUGCCAAUAAUUAGGAACAAUUAAUUAAUCAAAAUAUUUUUUAUUCCAUACGCCAUAUUUCGCUGCAAAUUAACUAACAGUUUCAAGUUUUAUAAAAAAUCUAUUUCUAACUUUUAUUUGCGACCAACACCGCAAAAAAAAUUUUACGCUGUGAAAAUGGUUUAUUAUUUUAAAAAGUUGCCCUGUUAUUGUAGUUUUCAAAAAAGUAUAAAAGUUUCCUAAGUUGCAGUUAGAUCACAAAAUAUUACAAUUUGAAUUCAACAAAACAGUGUUUUUCAGAACAAAAAACAACCAACUGAAUAAAUGAUCAAUACAUGAUCAAAAAAGUCAUGAUCUAAAAAAUUUUGUUUAGUUAUUGUAACAAAAAGAAAAAGAACAAUGCGUAAAACAUGGAACCAUCCCUCAAAAUUUUAUUGAAGUCGUUGAAUCUCUCUCUGCGAAAACAAAACUAAUAUAAGAGAAAAUACUUCCAAAAUGUCUAGAGGACCUCAAAAUUUCAUCGAAAUCUUUAAAGUUUAAAAAAAAAUUCUAUGGUAAAAAAGUGGGCGGAUUUUUCCAAAAAUACUUACAAAACUUUUAACUCCCUUAGAUAAACAAGCCCUUAAAAUGUCAUCGAAAUCGUUAGAGACGUUUCCGAAAAAAAACUUAAAUGUUAAAAAAGUGGGCUUGGCAGUGGGCAGAUUUUUCCAAAAAAAAACUUCCAAAACUUUUUACUUUCUUGGAUGAUCAAACCCUGAAAAUUUCAUCGAAAUCAUUAGAGCCGUUUCCGAAAAAACUUAUAUAAUAAAAAAGUGGGCGUGGCAGUGGGCGGAUUUUUCAAAAAAAAACUUCCAAAACUUUUUACUCGCUUAUAUAAACAAACCCUGAAAAUUUCAUCGAAAUCGUUAGAGCCGUUCCCGAAAAAACUUAUAUGUUAAAAAAGUGGGCGUGGCAGUGGGCGGAUUUUUCCAAAAAUACUUCCAAAACUUUUUACUCGCUUAGAUGAACAAACCCUGAAAAUUUCAUCGAAAUCGUUAGAGCCGUUUCCGAGAUCCCAAUUUUAUAUAUAUUUAUAUAUAUAUGUAUAUAUAAACAAUUUUAGCUCGUUUAAAGUUAUAAGAUUUUAUGAAAUAAUUCGUCUAAUGAGCACUUAAAUUAUUAUUUUAAGCAAAACUCCACAGUUGAAUGUGUUGGUGCCAUUUAAAUUGCACGGAAAAUCUACCACAUAUAAGCACUGUGGAGUUUUUUCUCUCAUUGCAGCUUGUUGGGUGGAAGAGAAAAACCAACCGAAGCCGCGUCUCUAGAUAUUCCUUUCUCUAUGCUAGAACAGUUCAGCACAGAAAAAAACUCAAAACUUUUCUGCCUAGAACAGUCCAGCACAGCGUCAGUGAAAACACUUAUAAUCUUUUACAGAGUUCGAACUGUCAAAAAUUCUUUUACGAAUCUCAUUUUUGGUCAUAGAGAAAGGAAUACCCAUAAAAAAAAAUACCAAGACUGGAAACUUUCGUACGUCUUUCCCCCCAAAACCCUUUUGUGUAGUGUUGUCUGUGAAUAUAUGUGAAAGCCACCACGUUGGUAUAUGACGUUAACACGCACACAUUUAUAGAUUCACGACAUUCACCACGCAUCGGACACGAACACAACGAUAGGUUCACGACAUUCACCACACCUUGCAGCUUGUAGAUCUGCAUUUCUAUUUCCUGCAUAAGGUUCAAAUAUAAAAUAAACUAACGAUCCCACCGGUGGCCACGCAAAACAGAAAAUUCUACUUCAUGAGAGUACUAUAGGAAUAUAUACAACAGGGAUGAAAAAUAGUCUUUCAGCAUUGUAGGCCAGUCAUUAUGUCGGAAAAAACGGCUUAGAAAUGCAAAAUGACCGAGAAAGCUAAAUUUUGGAUAUGUUGUAGAGGAUGCUUAAAAAAGCUUAACUUGAAGUUUUCGACCAAGAUUUCCUAUGAGCUUUUUCCGCCAUUUUGAAAAAAAGGAUAAAAUUGGUUUUUUGACAAUAACUCGGCUAUCUGACGAGAUGCGAAAAUUUUACAAGAGGCUUUUUUGUAGAUUUUUACAUCAUUCAUACACAUUUUUUGUGUAUCAUGAACCGUUUUCGAGAUAUCGAUUAAAAAAGACAAAAAUUUAGGACAUGCCAUUUGUUUUUUGACAAAAUCUAUUUUUGGGUGAUGAAUAUCGAAAAAAUUACACGGUGUUACAAAAAUGAGGUUUUAAAAUAUACGCGGGCGGAGACCUAUCAGGUUUUGUAGAGCUAGUCGCACGGAAUACGAAAUGGUAUUUGAAAAUCCCCUAACACCCCCAAAAUCUGGAGUUACGGGCAAAAAACGGUUUUUUGGACCUUCACCCAUUGAAAAAAUUCUAGCUUCGACAAUGUUUUACCCAUUUUCGAUUUUUUUACAGUUUCUGAUAAAAGAUAAAUAUACCUUUUUAACAAUGUAUAAAACAUGUAAUUCGGUUAAACCACUUAGAAUUUAUAAGAUGUCAAAGUUCAAAAAUUCAUUUUUUUCAAGCUCACCAUAUAAAAAAUCAUUAAAAAAAUAUACUUUGAUUUCUAUAAAAAAAAAACUUUUUGACUAGUGAAAUCGAACAAGGCAUUCACCCACUCACCUUAGCCCAAUUAGUUUGUGGGCAAUUUAUUUUUCCGCUUUCAUAUACCAUUUAUCCUAAAUUUUACCACCCAUAUGCUGCUAAUAAUUUUUUUAUUUUCAAAAAUUAUUGGCACUGCUCUGAUUGCAAUUUUGAUGAACUAAAUAAUAUAGAGAUUGAAGCAAAUUACAAAAUGCACAAUCAACACAAAAAGCCGGUAUACUGUAUUUACAAAAUUUUGGUUAAUAAAAUUGCGGUUACAAAAAAAACAUUACCAUCUUCUUCUCAUUAUUUAUUAAAUAAAUGCUUACAUUUGUAUGUAUAAUAAUAUAAACAUUAAAAAAAAACAUGAAUGAUUGUUUUUUUACAACCGAACGGACGGCUUGCUUGGCGGUGGGCGCGGCCUAAACGACUUUGCGGCGGACUGGAAGUCGUAAUUUUUGUCCUACGACAUUGUAGGUCUGAAUGUGGUCUACAAAUUUUAUUUUAAUAAUUUUUUCGAUAUUCAUCACCCAAAAAUAGAUUUUGUCAAAAAACAAAUGCCAUGUCCUAAAUUUUUGCUUUUUUAAUCGAUAUCUCGAGAACGGUUCAUGAUACACAAAAAAUGAAUUGUAGAACUCGUUAAAAGCUACAAAAAAGCUUCUAGUAAAAUUUUCGCAUCUCGUCAGAUAGCCGAGAUAUUGUCAAAAAACCAGUCUUGGUAUUUUUUGUUUAUGGGAAUACCUAGAGCAUAAACAAAAAAUACCAAGACUGGAAACUCGGCGGUCAACUGACGUUUACCUACAAGCUGCGAGGUGUGGUGAAUGCCGUGAACCUAUCGUUGUGUUCGUGUCCGAAGUGUGGUGAAUGUCGUGAAUCUAUAAAUGUGUGCGUGCUAACGUCAUUUACCAACGUGGUGGCUUUCACAUAUAUUCACAGACAGCACUGUUAACAAAAGGGUUUUGGGGGGAAAGACGUACGAAAGUUUCCAGUCUUGGUAUUUUUGGUUUAUGACCUAGAGACGCGACUUCGGUUGGUUUUUCUCUUCCACCCUACAAGCUGCAAUGAGAGAAAAAACUCCACAGUGCUUAUAUGUGGUAGUUUUGCCGUGUAUUUUAAAUGGCACCAACACAUUCAACUGUGGAGUUUUGCUCAAAACAAUAAUUUAAGUGCUCAUUAGACGAUUUAAUCAUAAAAUAAUAAUAAUAAAUUCAAAACACGAACCUUUAUUUUAAAUUCAAAACACACGUCCGUUUGUGAGGGCAUCUACUGUCGGAAGGAAGGUAUUAAACGCAUUAUACCUUUCACACGUAUUCACAGAUAGGAAAACAAGAGAAAAAUAAGAGAGAUGUAUACCAAUCAUCUGAAAUUAAAUUUGCGAUUGCGGGUGUUUUUGGCAAGGGGGUACGAGUCGGCUCUCUAGGUAUUCCUUCCUCUAUGUUUUUGGUAUUCAGCAAACCUUUAUCUGUUAUGAAAUCUUUUAUGAAUCAUAAAAGAAUAAAAGACAGAUUUUUGCUGCUUUUAUCAUAAAACAUUUCAUGAAAGUAGCAAAUUUUCAAUAAAAGUAGGUGCUUUUUUUAUUUAUAGCUGUGUUUAUAAAUAAUUGAAACGGAGGUUAGUUUUUUAUUCAUAAAAAACCAUCAAGUAAUUAAAAAAAAUAAAGUUACUUCAGAUACAACGAGUGACUAGGAAAAAUCUAAUGCAAAACUAAAAGCAUCAACAAAACACCAAGAUCACUUCACCCCCUAUUCCAUAGGGGAAGGAAUACCUAGAGACCCGACUCGUACCCCCUUGCCUAAAACACCCGCAAAUUUCAUUUGAGGUGAAUAUAAGAGAACUCUCUUAUUUUACUCUUUUUUUCUUAUCCAUGAAUACGUGUGAGUGGUGGAUUCAAAAACAAAAUGUCGGUUGUAGCCAAAAAAAAAAAAUGAUCAAAAGUGACAGGUGACAGUUCUCGCCCUUCAAGCAAACAGGUCCGACCUCGGUCCGAAUUUGCUCCGCCUGAGGAGGAGCUGAGUCCGACUUCGGAUCAGAAACUGGUCCGAAGGCGGCUCAAAUUAGUAUGGAAAUUAUAAUCACCGCGAAGUCGAUUGCAUAUGUAUUGGUGUGGUGAAAAUCUCCAUUCCGAGAAAACGGAGCCGAAGGCGGACCUGAGUCGGAGCAGUGAAAACCUACCAGAAAGAGGAAUAAAAAAACGAUGACGUUUCGCAUUUGCGACCAAAAAAAGAACAAGAUUUAUUUUUUUUUUCACUGAAACUGUUUUAUUUUUUAUUUUAUUUUGGCAAACGAAAUUUUCACAAUAAAUACAAUAUAAAAUACAAUAUAUUUUUUUCAUUUUAUUUCAUUUGAUGCUGCUGCUGUUGUUGGUGUUUUUUUUUUUUUAGAUACCCAAUCGCAUGUUUCACCUUCUGGAUUUUUCUUAGAGAUUACAUCUACAACACAAGCAGAAACAACACUUUAAUCCAAACACUUUGAGCGAUAUAUACAACAUACCUUUUUUGUUUUCUAUAUUGUUUAUAAUUUAAUAUAAUUGUUUAUAGUUAAUAAUCUAACAUUAUACAAACAACGACACGAGACACGACGCGACCAAACACUUCAACAAAAAAUAACAUAAUGACGCUUUGGCUCUUGUUGGCCUUGUCUUUCUUUUCCUUUUCUCAUUUUUCACCACGAUUCUCGUUCGACUUUUGUGUUCAUACACACAAGUGUGUGAGUGCAACCCCGAUUUUCGCGGUCUGAGGUCGGAGUUUCUUUGUUGAACUCAGUUUUCUUGCUUGAAGGGCGAAUUCUAAAUUCUGUUUGUUGCAAAAUAAAUUUUUUUUCAAGUUUUCCACGCUUAAUUCUUUUAUUAAUAAAAUCGCAAAAGAUUAGUGAGUAUAAAGAACAUUAAUAAAGAAUCAUUCAUAUUCUGAUGAAAAAUAAAAUAAAUAAAUUUGUGCCUCGACGCCUCUUGGAGGAGCAAGACCUGGUGAUAGUGACAAACAACUUCGAGCUUUUCUUAUGUGCGUGUACUUAAUUUACAAGAGUGGAAUGGACCUUUGGUUUACCACGCGCAGAGUCCGAAUCAGAGAUGUACCUACUUUUCAUGACAAUGAUGCUCGUGUCAAUUCCUCGUAAAAGGCAGUAUCGCUGGAAUUAAAUGGUUUUACUCGUGCAGCGAAGUAGCUAAAAAGAAAUUCCCAGAUUUCCGUAUCCGAGAAACCAACUUGAAGAAACAAGGUCUCUUCCGUUUUACAUACGCAAAUCCCUCUGAUCGCGUAAAGACAUUACCAACAGACAAAAUAUCUAUAAUUGGAUCGAAGGGUUUGGGAACUGGUAAGCCAGUUCAGAUCAAGCUCAACCACUCUCAAAAACAACAACAAUUUAAAUGGUACAAGGCUGGCAGUGGUCUCAACCGCAUGAAGCAAUUAUGUGGCUUCUAAAGCCUAGUACGCAGCUGAAGCGAAACGAAAAAAUUUGAAGUCUCCAAAGUAGAGUUGGGCACUUUAGUUCAUUUGAGUGAUCGAUCACUUUAGUUCAAAUCACGAUACUGAACUAGUUCAUUUUAGUUCAAUUUAUUUUAAUCACCCCGGUUUUUGCUAGAAUUAAAAAACAAAAUUAGUUUGUUUAUUAUUAUGUAAAUUUAUGUAAAAUUGACGCAUUCUACAUAAUAAAACAAAUACAACCUAAAAAAAACAUACAUAUUUUAUUUUUUAUAUUUAAUUUCGUUCAUAAACUUGUCGAGCUUUUUGGUUCCUCACGAAAGUCUAGAAGAAGUUCGUUUUGCUUUCAUUAAAUCAAAAUCAUAGUAAUGCAAGGACCAAGAUGCUACUUGUUUUUUGUUCUUGCUCAGAAAUAAGACUAAGUGGUGCUUGAAGAAGAAACGCUGAUACUGGCACAAGCACAAGCGACCUUGUGCUUUUUGUUUUACAUCUAAAGCCAUAAAUUUACAAAAGUAAAUAUUUUUUAUUUCUUUCUAGCGCUAUUUAUUUUUGGAAAAAACUACAAAAAUUGAUUUUUAAACGAAAAAAAAGCCUUCUGCAUCAUUAUUUUUAAUUUUGUGAUCGGAAAAACUGUCACAAAAUGAGUUUGAAAAUAUUCACUCUUUGACUUUUUGCAAAAUGUGGUCGUUGUAGUUAUACUUUAAAUCUUGAGAUAGAGCAGAAGAACUGAUUUCGCUCCACAAAGAAUUGGAUGUAAUUUCAUAUGCACUUUGGUUUCUGAACCCUUAUUCUUUAAAUGUCUGUCGGGUUAAAAGGACGCUGUCGGCAUAUAAGAUAAGGACCAAAUUUUGUAAUGUCAUAUUACGACUGCUCUAGGUCGCUGUUUAGUUUGUUGAAAAAAAUCUUUUUCGCUAUUCGCGAACUAAAUUGAACUAAGUUCACUAGUUCACCAAGAUGAACUAGUUCGUUGGCGAACUACACAAGCCUAGAAAAUAGGUUUUUAAAAUCCGGGAGGACAAAAAUUAGUCAGUACUGAACCAAGUUGAAAUAGGACCACCGAUUACUAAUGGAAAGUCGGUUUAAAAAAAAACCAUUUUUUUAUAGAAUGUCACUAUUUUUUUAUAUAAAAAAUAAAACUUUUUACAUUACACAAGUAAGUAUUUGUUUUUAUUGUUUUUCGAAUAAAAUCAAAAAAUGAGUAGCUUCUGAGUAGUAGAAAAAACACGCCACGAGUAUCAUCCAAUUCCCCAUGUGUUUGAUACUUUUGCCACUGACGUUCCUUGCUCUUUGUUUGCAAAACAUCCAUAAUCGCUUUCAGUUGCUACACCUGCUUUCUAAUUGGAGCACUAAACUGGGCAAACAUACUGUAACCAUGUUUCGACAUUUUAAUUUUUUUCAAUUUUUGUUGUAACUUGUUCCAAAGCUUCUGGAGAAUAUCUAUCAAAAUCGAGAACAUUUCCAACCAACUCCGACAUGGAUUCAUUUGGAAAUCGUUCCAAAUGUUUGACAAUAUUCACAACUUCACGAGUGCAACAAGGAUAAUUAGAGCCGUUUUCUUCACCAAAAGUUGAAGUCAACUUGAGGAUUUUUAUUCUCAACUUGUGAUUUUGUUUGAGUGAAGAAACUCAAAGUUGACAGUUUCAACUUUUGAUUCUCAACUCUCCAGUUGGUCAACUUCUGGUUUGCUCAACUUCCGAAAAUAGCAGAAGUUGAGGGAGCAAACUUGAGAGUUUUCUGUGAAAUGUCAUAUUUUUUUCUUUUUUUUUAUAAUAUUGGCAAAAACUCUUUUAUUUCUGUUUUCGUGGAAAAAUUGAGCAUUAAAUUCAUGGUAAAAUAUUUCCCAAUCGCAGAAUAUUAUUAUUAAUUAAAAAAUUGUCAUACACAUUUUCCACCGAUUUUUUUUUACAUCCCGUCAACUUCGCUAUUGCCCGCACACACACACACACUUUUAGACAAACAAAAAUUAUUCCUUUGAAAUUCAUUUUUACAAAAAAGAAAACAAACCAAAAUGCAUUAAAAAAAUUAGUUUGACAUUUUGACAAAAAAAAAUUGCACCAAAUAUACAGAACUUCAAUUUAAUGUCGAAUUCCUUUCAAUUGAAAAAUCGAAUUUUCGGCGAUCUCGAAGCGAAUUUUUUCUGAAAAUCAUGUUCCAUAGAAAAAAAAUUCGCCUCAAACGAAGCAGAAUUCGAAUUUUUUUUAAUCCCUCUUUUUUGAGAGAUUUACACGGAUUUGCACACACACUUGGAACAUUUGACAUUUCUCAAACGUCAAGCUGAAAGUUUUCUUCGUAUUGUUUGUUUAUUUGAGAACACCAACUUCAAAUAAAGAGUAAAUUUUAAUUGAA